UACGGGGGGGGUAAGCGUUGUUCGGAAUUACUGGGCGUAAAGGGCUCGUAGGCGGCCAACUAAGUCAUACGUGAAAUCCCUCAGCUUAACUGGGGAACUGCGUGUGAUACUGGAUGGCUUGGAUUUGGGAGAGGGAUGCGGAAUUCCAGGUGUAGCGGUGAAAUGCGUAGAUAUCAGGAGGAACACCGGUGGCGAAGGCGGGUCUCUGGGCAGUAACUGACGCUGAGGAGCGAAAGCGUGGGUAGCAAACAGG
rnacentral:rRNA from 1 species